rnacentral:rRNA from 1 species
UACGUAGGUGGCAAGCGUUGUUCGGAAUUAUUGGGCGUAAAGGGCGCGUAGGCGGUUUGGUAAGUCAGCUGUGAAAGCCCGGGGCUUAACCCCGGGUCUGCAUCCGAUACGGGCAGGCUAGAGUGUGGUAGGGGAGAUCGGAAUUCCUGGUGUAGCGGUGAAAUGCGCAGAUAUCAGGAGGAACACCAAUUGCGAAGGCAGCUCGCUGGGACGUUACUGACGCUGAGACGCGAAAGCGUGGGGAGCAAACAGG